UUUGUCGCAUUUUGCGAUUUUUCAGAAAAAAAUGCGACAGAAAUUCCGGAAAUCCGACACGGACAUUUCGUAUUUUAGUAUUCGCGCGCAAUUUUGAAUUUCAGCUGUUGGCAUCCAAACAGCCUCAGGGCUGUUUUACCUGUGCAAAAUGUGGAUACCCUGUCGCAUGGGAACAAUAAGACUUAGGGGCGUCUUGUUUAUUUAGCAGUUUACACAAAACAAAGGGUUGAUCCUCUAUGUGCAGACUUCAUAAAGUCCCUUCUCCUCUACAUGAUGAGAUUCACCAAAGGACCACUUUGUCAUUCUGGAUUUCAAGAUGAAAACAAGAUUCUUCAGUGAAAAUGUGAUGUGAAACUAUGAUCAUGUGUUAUAUAUUACAGUAAUUAAUUUUCAGUAACUUUGUCAUCAGUGACUUUUUCUAGACUGCAAAUUUAAUGAGUAAUAUAUGUCAUUUACACUACUAAAAUGAUUAAUAAACAUUUAGAAACUCA